rnacentral:rRNA from 1 species
UGCGGAGGGAUCAUUACUGAGUGAGGGAGCAAUCCCGACCUCCAACCCUUUGUGAACGCAUCAUGUUGCUUUGGGGGCGACCCUGCCGUUCGCGGCAUUCCCCCCGAAGGUCAUCAAAACACUGCAUUCUUACGUCGGAGUAUAAAGUUAAUUUAAUAAAACUUUCAACAACGGAUCUCUUGGUUCUGGCAUCGAUGAAGAACGCAGCGAAAUGCGAUAAGUAAUGUGAAUUGCAGAAUUCAGUGAAUCAUCGAAUCUUUGAACGCACAUUGCGCCCCCUGGUAUUCCGGGGGGCAUGCCUGUUCGAGCGUCAUUUCACCACUCAAGCCUCGCUUGGUAUUGGGCGUCGCGAGUCUCUCGCGCGCCUCAAAGUCUCCGGCUGAGCGGUUCGUCUCCCAGCGUUGUGGCAACUAUUUCGCAGUGGAGUUCGAGUCGUCGCGGCCGUUAAAUCUUUCAAAGGUUGACCUCGGAUCAGGUAGGGAUACCCGCUGAACUUAAGCAUAUCAAUAAGCCGGAGGAAA